GGGGCCAUAGCUCAGUUGGGAGAGCACCGCCUUUGCAAGGCGGGGGUCGCCGGUUCGAGCCCGGCUGGCUCCA
rnacentral:tRNA from 1 species